rnacentral:rRNA from 1 species
AGCGAACGCUGGCGGCAGGCCUAACACAUGCAAGUCGAACGGACCUUUCGGGGUUAGUGGCGGACGGGUGAGUAACACGUGGGAACGUGCCUUUAGGUUCGGAAUAGCUCCUGGAAACGGGUGGUAAUGCCGAAUGUGCCCUUAGGGGGAAAGAUUUAUCGCCUUUAGAGCGGCCCGCGUCUGAUUAGCUAGUUGGUGAGGUAAUGGCGCACCAAGGCUACGACCAGUAGCUGGUCUGAGAGGAUGACCAGCCACAUUGGGACUGAGACACGGGCCAAGCUCCUACGGGAGGCAGCAGUGGGGAAUGUUGCGCAAUGGGCGGAAGCCUGACGCAGCCAUGCCGCGUGGAUGAUGAAGGUCUUAGGAUUGUAAAAUCCUUUCACCGGUGGAGAUAAUGACUGUAGCCGGAGAAGAAGCCCCGGCUAACUUCGUGCCAGCAGCCGCAGUAA